AUUGAACGCUGGCGGCAGGCCUAACACAUGCAAGUCGAACGAGUGGCGGACGGGUGAGUAAUGUCUGGGAAACUGCCUGAUGGAGGGGGAUAACUACUGGAAACGGUAGCUAAUACCGCAUACCAUCGGAUGUGCCCAGAUGGGAUUAGCUAGUAGGUGGGGUAACGGCUCACCUAGGCGACGAUCCAGAGCUGGUCUGAGAGGAUGACCAGCCACACUGGAACUGAGACACGGUCCCGACUCCUACGGGAGGCAGCAGUGGGGAAUAUUGCACAAUGGGCGCAAGCCUUAUGCAGCCAUGCCGCGUGUAUGAAGGAGGCCUUUGGGUUGUAAAGGACUUUCAGCGGGGAGGCGUUACCCCCCGAAGAAGCACCCGCUAACUCCGGUCCAGCAGCCGCGGUAAUAC
rnacentral:rRNA from 1 species